UUACCCCUAAUAUCCGCCAGGGAACUACAAGCGUUAGCUUAAAACCCAAAGGACUUGGCGGUGCCUCACACCCACCUAGAGGAGCCUGUUCUUGAAUCGAUAAUCCCCGUUCAACCUCACCACCCCUUGUUCGACCCGCCUAUAUACCGCCGUCGUCAGCUCACCCUGUGAAGGACUCAAAGUGAGCAAAAUGGGUAUAACCCAAAACGUCAGGUCAAGGUGCAGCGUAUGAGGUGGGAAGAAAUGGGCUACAUUACCUACCCCAGGUUAUUACGAAAGGGGUUGUGAAACCAACCCCUGAAGGUGGAUUUAGCAGUAAGGAGGAAAUAGAGAGUUC
rnacentral:rRNA from 1 species